AGUGAACGCUGGCGGUAGGCCUAACACAUGCAAGUCGAACGGCAGCACAGUAAGAGCUUGCUCUUACGGGUGGCGAGUGGCGGACGGGUGAGGAAUACAUCGGAAUCUACUUUUUCGUGGGGGAUAACGUAGGGAAAGUUACGCUAAUACCGCAUACGACCUACGGGUGAAAGCAGGGGAUCUUCGGACCUUGCGCGAUUGAAUGAGCCGAUGUCGGAUUAGCUAGUUGGCGGGGUAAAGGCCCCCCAAGGCGACGAUCUGUAGCUGGUCUGAGAGGAUGAUCAGCCACACUGGAACUGAGACACGGUCCAGACUCCUACGGGAGGCAGCAGUGGGGAAUAUUGGACAAUGGGCGCAAGCCUGAUCCAGCCAUACCGCGUGGGUGAAGAAGGCCUUCGGGUUGUAAAGCCCUUUUGUUGGGAAAGAAAAGCAGCAGGUUAAUACCCCGCUGUUCUGACGGUACCCAAAGAAUAAGCACCGGCUAACUUCGUG
rnacentral:rRNA from 1 species